rnacentral:rRNA from 1 species
AGGGGAAUAUUGCACAAUGGGCGCAAGCCUGAUGCAGCCAUGCCGCGUGUGUGAAGAAGGCCUUCGGGUUGGAAAGCACUUUCAGCGGGGAGGAAGGCGAUAAGGUUAAUAACCUUGUCGAUUGACGUUACCCGCAGAAGAAGCACCGGCUAACUCCGUGCCAGCAGCCGCGGGAAUACGGAGGGUGCAAGCGUUAAUCGGAAUUACUGGGCGUAAAGCGCACGCAGGCGGUCUGUCAAGUCGGAUGUGAAAUCCCCGGGCUCAAACUGGGAACUGCAUUCGAAACUGGCAGGCUAGAGUCUUGUAGAGGGGGGUAGAAUUCCAGGUGUAGCGGUGAAAUGCGUAGAGAUCUGGAGGAAUACCGGUGGCGAAGGCGGCCCCCUGGACAAAGACUGACGCUCAGGUGCGAAAGCGUGGGGAGCAAACAGG